CAUGUUUUUAGACUAAUAGCAGAAAGGCCAAGAUCAUAAGUACCCAGAAUGUUGGGGGCAAUAUGCUAAAUCAUUGUAAACGGCUUAGAGAGCUUCUAGCUAUAGAGCGGUAUAUAAAUGUAAGUGCUAUUGCUAUUGCUAUAACUCAAAAUUUGCUUCAGAUUCUAGAUUACAUUAGAUGUACAUCUAACUUGCAGAUUGUGCACAGAUCUAAUCGCUUAUAGUACCUUCUCACCCAUCCCCAUUGUGUGUCAUCUUCUGCUGCCUUUUGCUUUAAUGCUGUUGUCCUAUAAGAAGUAGUAUUUAUUUUUAUUUAUUUGAUUUAUAUACCACCCUUCCAAAAAGGCAUAUGACCAAAAAUUAUGACUGUUGUCCUACAGAUGCUUGUUUUGCAGUAGCUAUCUACCACACUACCUGCCAGUUAUGCAUAUUUGCAGUCAUGCCUGCAGUCUGAACCUUGGUCUCAUUCAGUGGUGUAGCCUAGAGUUCAGUGCAUGGAAAAGACAUAUUCCACAAACUGGAGAUACAGACUACGAUGUGCUUCUCCCUGGGCGAGCUUCCAUUUUCUGUCUCAUGGUCAUAAUUUCAAAACCUCUUGUUGCCUUUCUGGAAUCCAGAGGCAUGCUAGAAUGUCUUUUGGUAGGAACCGACAGAGGCGCUGCUUAAUGGGUUCUUGGCUCUGCAAUAGCCAUUAUACAUUUUUCUUUGCUAUCAGCAUUGCUGCUCUUGACCACCUGCGUACCUAUCUCUAUUCCAUGCCUUUCAGCCAAAAGUUGGCUUCCAAAGUGGCUCUCAGCAGGAAAAAUCCAGUACAGAUGAUAACUAACAUUCAGUAGAAAUUACUGGGGGAGGACAUUCUUGGCUGGUGUGAUACCUGACUGCUGCUUCCAUUCCUUCUGAUGGUUUCAGUAAUGAUACCUGAGGUGAGAGUGGUUCUUAAUUGGAGCUGGAAUACAACAUGGAGGAGUGGUGCCUGGUGGUUGCUGCCGCUUCUUCUUUCCCUUCCUCUGGUAGUCUGUACCACAAAAACAAGAGUGCUUCAAUUUCAAGCUUCCCCUGGUUCCAUGGCUGUCCCAUCUGCAGAGAGAUUAAUGCGAGACCAGUGCAAACUGAAGAUUCAGCAUAAUGUGGACCACGAAGCAUUGAACAGCCCUUUACUUGCGGUUGGAAACCGUUGCACUCUGCAACACUUCGACCAGCACAAAGCUCAUCAUCUGGAAAACGCCCUGAUCCAAGAGCACUUUACUUGCCAGGCAACCACACUGGUUUCUUGACUACUUGUUUUAGCCAAAAGCUAGUCUCAACAGCAAAGGUUGUACUAAAUGAGCAUGAGCUAAAGGGCCUAAGCUAAAUGUUGCAUGCACAUGAGUUUUGUACAGGAUUUGUAAUGUUUAUACAGUUUCUAUAAAUGUAAUGGCUGCUACAGCUCAGGUCUCUCCCUGCUCUUGUUUCUAUAAUAAUCUGAAAUUAUAACUUAAUUCAAGGCAGCAGGCAGAUAAAUAAUAAUUUCAAAAUCACAAGCUUUGUACACAACAGGCUUCUUUAACUUGCCUCCUACAAUGGGUUCACACCAACUGUUUUGCAUGCAAUUUUUAAUGCAAUCUACUUAAAGUAUUAGCUGUGCAAUUUUUGCUGCAUCACAUCCUAUUUCAAGCUUUUCCUUUCUUCUAGACUGUGUCAAGUGAUAUUUAGAAGCGUAAUGCUGUGUUCAAGCCACCCAGUGACACAGUGGGGAAGCAGGUGGCUGUUGGUUCAAAUCCCUGCUAGUGCUUCCCAGAAUAUGGGAAACUCCUAUAUUGGGCAGCAGUGAUAUAGGAAAGUGCUGAAAGGCAUCAUCUCAUACUGCACAUGAUAAGGCUAUGGUAAACAGCUCCUGUAUUCUGCUAAGAAAACCACAUGGUCCUGUGGUCCCCAGGAGUUGACACUGACUCAAUGGCACAAUCUUUCCUUUCCAAUGCUGUGUUAUUUUAACAGACAUGGUAACAUUGCUUUAUCAGUUGCAAUGCUCUUUAGUGGUGUGAGGAGUAGUUUACUUUGUUUGCCCCUGCCCCAGAGUUUGAUUCAUCUGUCCUUUUACCUCAGUUUUUUCUUCUGGUCAUACUUUGUGUGCAUGCUGCCAACACAUGGGUAGUUUUUAUCUAACUUUCAAAUUUAGAUUAAUUCAAAGCCAACUAAAUAGUAUUUUUACCUUCCUGUUCUGAUACAUUAUUUUUACAUAAAAUAUUCAAAGGAAAGGUAAAACAUGAAACAUUUCACAACAGUAUGAAGGAAGAUGACAGUUUUGCCAUAGGUUAAACAGUUGGUCCCCGUUGUGUAUACUGUCAUGGGUAAUGAAAGCAUUUGUUAAUUGCAGGAUAAUCCUGAAUAAAGUACAAUUAGUGCAAACAAAACAAUGAUACAAGCAGAAACAAGGCAAAUCGAAAGAGGCUAGAACACUAGAAAUAUACUUGAACAGAAUGCUGGACACUAUUUGAACAACAGGCUAUAGACUGCAUGAAAGGACUACAUAUCAAAAGUGAGAUUAUGAAAUUCCACUUCAUGGAGCAGCAAAGCAAGGCAUAGAAGACCCAUAUGGAUCAAGCAGGAAUGCCCCACUGAAGUUCUUCACUCUUUUUUUCAAUUAAAGUUGUGCAGGAGAGACAGCAGCGGAAACCAGGAGCACAUGUCAUCUGUACUUCUGAGGACACUGAUAUGGGGGAAAGAGUGUAGCCUUGCUGGUGUCCCCUGUCAUCCCCCCCCCACUUUUUAAAAGUACAUUUUAAGGACAUUUUGUACAUUUCUAUACUGGGAUGCCACAAAUACCCAGUCUCUAAAAAUAAAAAUCUGAUGACA